GGGGUCCUACGGGAGGCAGCAGUAGGGAAUCUUCCACAAUGGGCGAAAGCCUGAUGGAGCAACGCCGCGUGGGUGAAGAAGGUCUUCGGAUCGUAAAACCCUGUUGUUAGAGAAGAAAGUGCGUGAGAGUAACUGUUCACGUUUCGACGGUAUCUAACCAGAAAGCCACGGCUAACUACGUGCCAGCAGCGCGGUAAUACGUAGGUGGCAAGCGUUAUCCGGAUUUAUUGGGCGUAAAAAGAACGCAGGCGGUCUUUUCAGUCUGAUGUGAAAGCCUUCGGCUUAACCGGAGGAGUGCAUUGGAA
rnacentral:rRNA from 1 species